CGCCUGUUUAACAAAAACAUGGCCUUUUGAAUUUAAUAUAAGGUCUGACCUGCCCAGUGAUAGUUUUAACGGCCGCAGUAUACUGACCGUGCAAAGGUAGCAUAAUCAUUAGUCUUUUAAUAGAGGGCUGGAAUGAAAGGUUUCACGAGGAACUGACUGUCUCAUUUUAUUUGUUUUAAAAUUUAAUUUUUUAGUUAAAAAGCUAAAAUUUUAUUGGUAGACGAGAAGACCCUAUAGAGCUUUACAUAUAAUUAAAUAAAUAUUUUUAUAUUAAUAUUUUUAUUUAUUUUUGUGUUUUGUUGGGGUGACAAAAAUAUAUAACUAACUUUUUUAUUUACUUUACAUUGAUUUAUGAAUAUUAGAUCCAAUACUAUUGAUUAUUAGACUAAGUUACCUUAGGGAUAACAGCG
rnacentral:rRNA from 1 species